rnacentral:misc_RNA from 1 species
UACAGAGGGUGCAAGCGUUACUCGGAUUUAUUGGGCGUAAAGCGAGCGCAGGCGGUCUUUUAAGUCUGAUGUGAAAGCCCACGGCUCAACCGUGGAGGGUCAUUGGAAACUGGAAGACUUGAAUGCAGAAGAGGAAAGUGGAAUUCCAUGUGUAGCGGUGAAAUGUGUAGAUAUAUGGAGGAACACCAGUGGCGAAGGCGACUUUCUGGUCUGUAACUGACGCUGAGGCGCGAAAGCGUGGGGAGCAAACAGG